CAAAGAGAGAAGGGCAUACGGUGGAUGCCUAGCCAGCUGGAAGCGAAGAAGGACGUGGUAAGCUACGAAAAGCUGUGGGGAGCUGCAAACGAGCGAAGAUCCGCAGAUAUCCGAAUGGGGAAACCUGCCGAAAGGCAUCCUGGAGACAGGAGGCGAAGCUGGGGAAGUGAAACAUCAUAGUACCCGGUGAAAAGAAAUCAAACGAGAUUCCCCUAGUAGCGGCGAGCGAAAAGGGAAGAGCCCAAACAGUAGCGAUGUAAAAGCGGGCAGGCGUUGUUGCUACUGAGUUGUGGGUAACAGCUACCCGAACUGCCAGAUAGGGGGUUGGAUAUAUAUACGAAGUGGAAAGGCAUGGGAAGGCCUACCGAAGAAGGUGAAAGUCCUGUACACGAAAGUAUAUAGAUUCGACUGCUGUUAACCCGAGUAGCGUAGGACACGAGGAAUCCUGCGUGAAGCUGGGUGGACCUCCAUCCAAGGCUAAAGAGGACAGCUGAGCGAUAGUGGAAUAGUACCGUGAGGGAAAGGUGAAAAGGACCCCGGGAGGGGAGUGAAAGAGAACCUGAAACCGUAUGCCUACAGGAAGCGGGAGCGAAAGUGACCGCGUGCCUUUUGAUUAAUGAGCCUGCGAGUUAUUUUCGGUGGCGAGGUUAAGCCGGUAGGUGGAGCCGAAGGGAAACCGAGUAUGAAUAGUGCGCAAGUCACUGGAAAUAGACCCGAAGCCAGGUGAGCUACCCAUGUGCAGGAUGAAGCUUGGGUAAAACCAAGUGGAGGUCCGAACUGGUGGAUAGUGAAAAAUCCUCGGAUGACAUGUGGGUAGGAGUGAAAAGCUAACCGAACCUGGGGAUAGCUGGUUCUCCCCGAAACGUGUGUAGGCACGGCCUCUGGAAGAAGAGUUAUGGAGGUAGAGCACUGAAUGGCGUAGGGGGGUAGACCUCUGAAACCAAUCAAACUCCGAAUGCCAUAACUGGAUACCAGGGAGAAAGACUGUGGGGAAUAAGCUUCAUGGUCGAGAGGGAAAGAGCCCAGACCGACAGCUAAGGUUCCGAAGAAGCGGCUAAGUGUGAAAGGAAGUGGACCUCUUGAGACAGCCGGGAGGUUGGCUUAGAAGCAGCCAUCCUUAAAAGAGUGCGUAACAGCUCACCGGUAGAAGAGGACUGCGCCGAAAAUGUAACGGAGCUAAAGCCGCGCACCGAAGCUACGGUAUAGCCGAAAGGCUAUAGGUAGGGGAGCAAUGUGCGAGGGAGAAGCGUAACUGGAAGGUUAUGUGGACGAAGCACAAGAGAGAAUGCAGGCAUGAGUAACGAAAUGGGAGUGAGAAUCUCCCACCCCUAAAGUCUAAGGUUACCUGGGGAAGGGUCGUCCGCCCAGGGUAAGUCGGGACCUAAGGUGAACCCGAAAGGGGUAGCCGAUGGAAAACGGGUGAAGAAUCCCGUACCAGUAAAAGAAGAGCUGCAAGGGGGGACACAGGAGGUAAAGCUACCGAGAUAGGGUUGCAAAUCUUCCAAGCGACGAUGCCGAAGAAGCCGGUAGGGAAAUCCGCUGGUGGAGGAGGAGUCGUGAUGGGGAGGCCGCAAGGCCAACGGUAGAUAAUCACACUGUCAAGAAAAGCCUCGUGUAGCGUUGAUUUUUUUACUGCCCGUUCUGGAAACCGACACAGGUAGACGAGCUGAGAAGGCAAAGGGGAGCGGAAUAACCUUCGUUAAGGAACUAGGCAAAAUGG
rnacentral:rRNA from 1 species